GACGAACGCUGGCGGCGUGCCUAAUACAUGCAAGUCGAGCGAAUGACGAGAAGCUUGCUUCUCUGAUUUAGCGGCGGACGGGUGAGUAACACGUGGGCAACCUGCCCUGUAGACUGGGAUAACUUCGGGAAACCGGAGCUAAUACCGGAUAAUCCAUUUCACCUCAUGGUGAAAUGUUAAAAGGCGCAUCUCGCGUCACUACAGGAUGGGCCCGCGGUGCAUUAGCUAGUUGGUGGGGUAACGGCCUACCAAGGCAACGAUGCAUAGCCGACCUGAGAGGGUGAUCGGCCACAUUGGGACUGAGACACGGCCCAAACUCCUACGGGAGGCAGCAGUAGGGAAUCUUCCACAAUGGACGAAAGUCUGAUGGAGCAACGCCGCGUGAGUGAUGAAGGUUUUCGGAUCGUAAAACUCUGUUGUAAGGGAAGAACAAGUACGUUAGGAAAUGAACGUACCUUGACGGUACCUUAUUAGAAAGCCACGGCUAACUACGUGCCAGCAGCCGCGGUAAUACGUAGGUGGCAAGCGUUGUCCGGAUUUAUUGGGCGUAAAGCGCGCGCAGGCGGUUUCUUAAGUCUGAUGUGAAAGCCCACGGCUUAACCGUGGAGGGUCAUUGGAAACUGGGAGACUUGAGUGCAGAAGAGGAAAGUGGAAUUCCAAGUGUAGCGGUGAAAUGCGUAGAGAUUUGGAGGAACACCAGUGGCGAAGGCGACUUUCUGGUCUGCGACUGACGCUGAGGCGCGAAAGCAUGGGGAGCAAACAGGAUUAGAUACCCUGGUAGUCCAUGCCGUAAACGAUGAGUGCUAAGUGGUUAGGGGGUUUCCGCCCCUUAGUGCUGCAGCUAA
rnacentral:rRNA from 1 species